CUUGGCUGACAUGUGAACAGCUGAGUCACAAGCUCCAGGCACCACAGCCUAAGCCCUUCCGCCAUGCCUUCUCCACUAGGACAGACUGAAACUGUGAGACAAACGGACGUUCCUUCUUCUAAGUCAUUCCCGGGUGACAACUGGCCUCAGUAACUCAAGAUCAGGUCUGGUCCAAGUGUCAGCACCUCAGGUGAUCCAAAACACUCUCACCAGUUCCUGACGACCUUCUCCCGGGCAUUUCUUGAACUAUAAACUUCCAAUUUCUGACUUCAGCCAUACUUACUGGAAGCCAAAGGAAAUGGAAAGGCUUGUCGGACAGACCUACAGAGAUGUAAGUUGCCCUUGGGAUGCUCCUCUUGUCUACCUGGUGAUUCAGCCACCAUCCUUUUGGACAGUUUCUGUAUGAACAAUGGUGAAGAGUAUUUUUCCAUAUUAAAAUAUCAAUACAUUGUAGAAGUUAUAAUGCACGAUCCAAGUCUGUACUACUUUCUUGUUUGCCUACAUCUGGAGUGCCAUAAAAAUAGGAGAACCAUGUUGAAAGUUUAAAA